rnacentral:rRNA from 1 species
UACGGAGGAUCCAAGCGUUAUCCGGAAUCAUUGGGUUUAAAGGGUCCGUAGGCGGUCUUAUAAGUCAGUGGUGAAAUCCCAUCGCUCAACGAUGGAACUGCCAUUGAUACUGUAAGACUUGAAUGCUUAGGAAGUAACUAGAAUAUGUAGUGUAGCGGUGAAAUGCUUAGAUAUUACAUGGAAUACCAAUUGCGAAGGCAGGUUACUACUAAGUGAUUGACGCUGAUGGACGAAAGCGUGGGGAGCGAACAGG